ACAAAGAUAUUGCUAGUCGCCGCAAAAGAAACACGCAAGGAGUCAAUUUAGAGGCAAUCGUUGCGCCGAUUUAGGAACAAUGGCCCACACAAAUACUUAAAACUGGGCGCAGAUGCAUCACCUUUGGAGUUUCCCUCACCGUUCGCACUCUAAAGUGAAGCUCGGCGUAAGUGCCUAAGGAGUACAAUCAGGAGUCUUCAUCUGACUCUGCCAAGGGCUCGAACGAGGAUGGGCAAAAUGGAACGGACUCACUCGGAAGAUGUGGGCGUGGUCUCGCCUGUGGCCGCUUCUUCGUUGUUGGAGCCCGGUCGUUGGUGGCUCGUCUCGUCGCCUUCAGGGUUGCGCCGACGCUUGGCUGGCGGCGUCGCGGAUAUGGCUGGUGUGCGCCGCUGAGCCGAAUCCUGGCCUUUGGUAUGUUUCGUGGGCCUCUCUGGUGCGCGAGCUGGUUCCUUUGUUGCCGGAGCCGUUAAUUUUUGUUUUUUUAUUGGUUCGUCUCUCGUCGCACUUAAGUUUUUAGUCUCUUUUAAUUUUUUAUAUUUU